ACUGAACGCUGGCGGCAUGCCUUACACAUGCAAGUCGAACGGUAACAGGUCUUCGGAUGCUGACGAGUGGCGAACGGGUGAGUAAUACAUCGGAACGUGCCUAGUGGUGGGGGAUAACUACUCGAAAGAGUGGCUAAUACCGCAUGAGAUCUACGGAUGAAAGCAGGGGAUCGCAAGACCUUGUGCUACUAGAGCGGCCGAAGGCAGAUUAGGGAGUUGGGGGGAUCAAAGCUUACCAAGCCGACGGUCUGUAACUGGUCUGAGAGGACGAUCAGCCACGCGGGGACGGAGACACGGCCCAGACUCCUACGGGAGGCAGCAGUGGGGAGUUUGGGACAAUGGGCGCAAGCCUGAUCAAGCAAUGCCGCGUGCAGGAUGAAGGCCUUCGGGUUGUAAACUGCUUUUGUACGGAACGAAAAGCCCCGGGUUAAUACCCUGGGGUCAUGACGGUACCGUAAGAAUAAGCACCGGCUAACUACGUGCCAGCAGCCGCCGUAA
rnacentral:rRNA from 1 species